rnacentral:rRNA from 1 species
CCUACGGGUGGCAGCAGUGAGGAAUAUUGGUCAAUGGCCGGAAGGCUGAACCAGCCAUGCCGCGUGAAGGUCAGUGCCCUAUGGGCGUUAAACUUCUUUUGUGCGGGAGCAAUAAUGGUCACGUGUGGCCAGACGAGAGUACCGUACGAAUAAGCAUCGGCUAACUCCGUGCCAGCAGCCGCGGUAAUACGGGGGGUGCAAGCGUUGUCCGGAAUCAUUGGGCGUAAAGCGUUCGUAGGCGGCAAGGUAAGUCUGAUGUUAAAGCCCGGGGCUCAACUCCGGUUCGGCAUUGGAUACUAUCUAGCUAGAAUGUGGUAGAGGUAAAGGGAAUUCCUGGUGUAGCGGUGAAAUGCGUAGAUAUCAGGAGGAACAUCGGUGGCGAAAGCGCUUUACUGGACCAUUAUUGACGCUGAGGAACGAAAGCCAGGGGAGCAAAUGGGAUUAGAUACCCCAGUAGUC